UUUUUCUACCUUUUGUAUAAUGGUUAAUUUAAAAUAAAAGUUUAUUAAAAACCUUCUCGAAAUAAAAAGAUCUAAUAAAUAAUUUUUUAAUUUUAUGUUGCAUAAUAAAGUUUUAAAAUUUUUACUAGAGAUUAAAUGUCUUCAAUUUUUAUUAUAUCUAGUUUAUUUAGAAAUAUAUUUAGUAUAGGUUAAACACACAUAUAAAAAGUUAUAAGAUUUUUUAUAAAAAAUCUUAUAUUGAAUCUCUACAAGUUAUUAUUAAUUAUUUAUGUAAUUUUAACAAAUUUUAAUAUUAAUUUCAUAUUUUUUAAGAUUCUCAUAAAAGUAAAUCCUGUAAAAUAGAACAUGUAGGAAAUAUAAUGAUUAAAUUAGUAUAUAUUAAUUCAUUAAAUAUAAAUUAUGAACUCGACUUUUUUAAUCAACUGUUUAACAAAAACAUAGUCUAAAGAUACUCCAAAAAAAUUUUAGAUAAAUUCUGCUCAAUGAAAAAUUUUAAAUAGCCGCAGUACUUUGACUGUGCUAAGGUAGCAUAAUCAAUUGUCUUUUAAUUAAAGUCUGGAAUGAAUGAAAUCAUGAUUAAAUUCUAUAUUUUUUAUAGUAAAUAAAAAUUAUUUUAUUAGGUGAAAAUACCUAAUUUUAUUUUAUUAGACGAGAAGACCCCAGGAAUUUAAGUUUAGUUUUUAUUGGGGCGAUAUAUAAACAUUUUAAACUUUAUUAAAUUAAUAUUAUAAAACGAGUCUUUAUUAAUUAUAGAGAAAUUACCCUGGGGAUAACAGCAUAAUUUUUUAUAAAGAUUGUGACCUCGAUGUUGGAUUAGAAAAAUUUUUACUUAGAGAGUAAAUUAUAUUUGUUCUGUUCGAACAAUUUUUUUUUAUUUAAUUUUCUACAUGAUCUGAGUUCAGACCGGCGUAAGCCAGGUCAGUUUCUAUCUAUUAUUUUUUAGUUAUUAGUACGAAAGGAUUGUAAUUAGUUUUUAUUUUA
rnacentral:rRNA from 1 species